rnacentral:rRNA from 1 species
AGAGUUUGAUCAUGGCUCAGAUUGAACGCUGGCGGCAGGCCUAACACAUGCAAGUCGAACGGUAACAGGAAGAAGCUUGCUUCUUUGCUGACGAGUGGCGGACGGGUGAGUAAUGUCUGGGAAACUGCCUGAUGGAGGGGGAUAACUACUGGAAACGGUAGCUAAUACCGCAUAACGUCGCAAGACCAAAGAGGGGGACCUUCGGGCCUCUUGCCAUCGGAUGUGCCCAGAUGGGAUUAGCUAGUAGGUGGGGUAACGGCUCACCUAGGCGACGAUCCCUAGCUGGUCUGAGAGGAUGACCAGCCACACUGGAACUGAGACACGGUCCAGACUCCUACGGGAGGCANNNNNNNNNNUGUUGGUGGGGUAACGGCUCACCAAGGCGACGAUCCCUAGCUGGUCUGAGAGGAUGACCAGCCACACUGGAACUGAGACACGGUCCAGACUCCUACGGGAGGCAGCAGUGGGGAAUAUUGCACAAUGGGCGCAAGCCUGAUGCAGCCAUGCCGCGUGUAUGAAGAAGGCCUUCGGGUUGUAAAGUACUUUCAGCGGGGAGGAAGGGAGUAAAGUUAAUACCUUUGCUCAUUGACGUUACCCGCAGAAGAAGCACCGGCUAACUCCGUGCCAGCAGCCGCGGUAAUACGGAGGGUGCAAGCGUUAAUCGGAAUUACUGGGCGUAAAGCGCACGCAGGCGGUUUGUUAAGUCAGAUGUGAAAUCCCCGGGCUCAACCUGGGAACUGCAUCUGAUACUGGCAAGCUUGAGUCUCGUAGAGGGGGGUAGAAUUCCAGGUGUAGCGGUGAAAUGCGUAGAGAUCUGGAGGAAUACCGGUGGCGAAGGCGGCCCCCUGGACGAAGACUGACGCUCAGGUGCGAAAGCGUGGGGAGCAAACAGGAUUAGAUACCCUGGUAGUCCACGCCGUAAACGAUGUCGACUUGGAGGUUGUGCCCUUGAGGCGUGGCUUCCGGAGCUAACGCGUUAAGUCGACCGCCUGGGGAGUACGGCCGCAAGGUUAAAACUCAAAUGAAUUGACGGGGGCCCGCACAAGCGGUGGAGCAUGUGGUUUAAUUCGAUGCAACGCGAAGAACCUUACCUGGUCUUGACAUCCACAGAACUUUCCAGAGAUGGAUUGGUGCCUUCGGGAACUGUGAGACAGGUGCUGCAUGGCUGUCGUCAGCUCGUGUUGUGAAAUGUUGGGUUAAGUCCCGCAACGAGCGCAACCCUUAUNNNNNNNNNNGGAAGUUUUCAGAGAUGAGAAUGUGCCUUCGGGAACCGUGAGACAGGUGCUGCAUGGCUGUCGUCAGCUCGUGUUGUGAAAUGUUGGGUUAAGUCCCGCAACGAGCGCAACCCUUAUCCUUUGUUGCCAGCGGUCCGGCCGGGAACUCAAAGGAGACUGCCAGUGAUAAACUGGAGGAAGGUGGGGAUGACGUCAAGUCAUCAUGGCCCUUACGACCAGGGCUACACACGUGCUACAAUGGCGCAUACAAAGAGAAGCGACCUCGCGAGAGCAAGCGGACCUCAUAAAGUGCGUCGUAGUCCGGAUUGGAGUCUGCAACUCGACUCCAUGAAGUCGGAAUCGCUAGUAAUCGUGGAUCAGAAUGCCACGGUGAAUACGUUCCCGGGCCUUGUACACACCGCCCGUCACACCAUGGGAGUGGGUUGCAAAAGAAGUAGGUAGCUUAACCUUCGGGAGGGCGCUUACCACUUUGUGAUUCAUGACUGGGGUGAAGUCGUAACAAGGUAACCGUAGGGGAACCUGCGGUUG